rnacentral:tRNA from 2 species
GGGUAGGUAGCCAAGCGGCCAAAGGCAUCAGACUGUAAAUCUGACGGGUUUCCCCUUCGCUGGUUCGAAUCCAGCCCUGCCCACCA